GAUGAACGCUAGCGGCAGGCCUAAUACAUGCAAGUCGGACGGGAUUUGGGAGCUUGCUCCUAAUGAGAGUGGCGCACGGGUGCGUAACACGUAUGUAACCUACCUUAAUCAGGGGGAUAGCCUCUCGAAAGAGAGAUUAACACCGCAUAAUAUAUUUUUAUGGCAUCGUAGAAAUAUCAAAUAUUUAUAGGAUUAAGAUGGGCAUGCGGAACAUUAGCUAGUUGGUAAGGUAACGGCUUACCAAGGCUACGAUGUUUAGGGGAUAUGAGAGGAUGACCCCCCACACUGGUACUGAGACACGGACCAGACUCCUACGGGAGGCAGCAGUAAGGAAUAUUGGUCAAUGGGCGCAAGCCUGAACCAGCCAAGCCGCGUGCAGGAAGACGGCCCUAUGGGUUGUAAACUGCUUUUGUACCGGAAUAAACCCUUUUACGUGUAAGAGGCUGAAUGUACGGUAAGAAUAAGGAUCGGCUAACUCCGUGCCAGCCGCCGCCGUAA
rnacentral:rRNA from 1 species